UUUUGAUUCAUUUAAUAAGCUAUGGAAGAGGGCAACAACAUGACCUAAAAGCUUUGGACACUGGAAGGCUUUCAACUUGUUUAAUUCAUUUAAAGGACUUAUUUUAUUAGUUUAGAAUAAUUGGAUUUAUUAUGGGAAGCACUUAAGGGGGCCUAUGCAGGGGCAUGUUGGAAAAUUUAUUAUUUUAUUGAACUAGGAUUAGGGUUUUACUGUAGCCGAGAUACUGUAGCCGCACUGUAGAUGCAGCACUAUUCACUCAGGGGCAUUUUUGGAAGAUGAAGAUUUAUUUUGG